GGAAGUAAAGGUCGUAACAAGGUUUCCGUAGGUGAACCUGCGGAAGGAUCAUUCAUAAUAAGUGUUUUAUGGCACUUUUUUAAAUCCAUAUCCACCUUGUGUGCAAUGUCAGGGUUGAUUUUUCUCUCGAGAGGAUCAACCCCAAACAUCAACUAUAUCUCAACUCUUUGUCUGAAAAAUAUUAUGAAUAAAACAAUUCAAAAUACAACUUUCAACAACGGAUCUCUUGGCUCUA
rnacentral:misc_RNA from 1 species